rnacentral:rRNA from 1 species
UACGUAGGGUGCAAGCGUUGUCCGGAAUUAUUGGGCGUAAAGAGCUCGUAGGCGGCUUGUCGCGUCGGCUGUGAAAACCUGGGGCUCAACCCCGGGCCUGCAGCCGAUACGGGCAAGCUAGAAUUCGGUAGGGGAGACUGGAAUUCCUGGUGUAGCGGUGAAAUGACGCAGAUAUCAGGAGGAACACCGGUGGCGAAGGCGGGUCUCUGGGCCGAUACUGACGCUGAGGAGUGAAAGCGUGGGGAGCGAACAGG